CCCUGCAUUCAAAAGUGAUCGUGGACUGCCCGUGUCCUGGUCAUUGAUAGUGCAGGGGAGGAUGCGGAAAGCCUUUCCCCGUAUUUGGAAGGUCCCUCCUGUCCUUGCCAGACCCUGGUGCUUUCCUACG
rnacentral:snoRNA from 1 species